rnacentral:rRNA from 1 species
GAUGAACGCUGACAGAAUGCUUAACACAUCAGCAAUUGAUUGGUGGCGGACGGGUGAGUAACGCGUAAAGAACUUGCCUCACAGCUAGGGACAACAUUUGGAAACGAAUGCUAAUACCUAAUACUGUGAGAGAGCUUUGCGUCCCAUUAGCUAGUUGGAGAGGUAACGGCUCACAAAGGCGAAGAUGGGUAGCCGGCCUGAGAGGGUGAUCGGCCAUAACGGAACUGAGACACUGUCCUUAUUCCUACGGGCGGAAGUAAUGGGGAAUAUUGGUCAAUGAACCAAAAUCUGAUACAGCAAUUAUGUGUGCACGAUGAAGUUUUCUUACUGUAAAGUGCUUUCAGUUGGGAAGCGGUACCACCAGAAGAAGUGACGGCUAAAGACGUGCCAGCAGCCGCGGUAAUAC